rnacentral:tRNA from 3 species
GGGCGAUUAGCUCAGCGGGAGAGCGCCUCGUUGACAUCGAGGAGGUCACUGGUUCAAUCCCAGUAUCGCCCACCA